rnacentral:rRNA from 1 species
AGGCCGCGGGAUUUGCCUGACUGAGGAUNCCUUGUUANGACUUAGCCCCAGUCACCAGUUUUACCCUAGGCGGCUCCUUACGGUUACCGACUUUAGGUACACCCGGCUUCCAUGGCUUGACGGGCGGUGUGUGCAAGGUCCGGGAACGUAUUCACCGUAUCAUUGNUGAUAUACGAUUACUAGCGACUCCAGCUUCAUGGAGUCGAGUUGCAGACUCCAAUCUGAACUGAGAGGNGU